GACGAACGCUGGCGGCGUGCCUAACACAUGCAAGUCGAGCGAAUGAAGUUUCUUCGGGAAUGGAUUUAGCGGCGGACGGGUGAGUAACACGUGGGCAACCUGCCUCAUAGAGGGGAAUAGACUUCCGAAAGGGUGAUUAAUACCGCAUAAGAUUGUAGUAUCGCAUGAUACAGCAAUUAAAGGAGCAAUCCGCUAUGAGAUGAGCCCGCGGCGCAUUAGCUAGUUGGUGAGGUAAUGGCUCACCAAGGCGACGAUGCGUAGCCGACCUGAGAGGGUGAUCGGCCACAUUGGGACUGAGACACAGCCCAGACUCCUACGGGAGGGAGCAGUGGAGAAUAUUGCACAAUGGGGGAAACCCUGAUGCAGCAACGCCGCGUAAGUGAUGACGGCCUUCGGGUUGUAAAGCUCUGUCUUCAGGGACGAUAAUGACGGUACCUGAGGAAGAAGCCACGGCUAACUACGUG
rnacentral:rRNA from 1 species